AAAGCACGUCAAAAGCGAUUUAGGCCUCGGCUUUGACUUUGAUAAGGAAAUCAGAUCAAUGAAAAUGGAAUCCUUUGAAGAAACGGAUAUAGGAGAUGCUGGUCGAAUUUUGUAGUAGAGCUGGCCAAACAGUUAAAGAAAAGGUUACCGGAAAAUUUUAAUAUAUUAAAACAGAUUGAUGCAUUUUCUGUUGAAAAUAUUUUCAAAAUUAAAAAGAAAAGUAUCUCUCCAAUCCUUGAGUAUUUUGGUAUUUCUAACAUCGAUAAAAUUGAACGUCUGUACAACGACAUAACCCUGGUAGAGUUGGAAAAUGUCGAUGAUGCAAUAAAGUUCUAGAAUGAAGUUCAGAAAUACCGGGAUUCUGGCGGAAACUGUCGUUUUCAUGAAUUGGCUUCAGUUGCUCCUCAAAUGCAGUCCCUGCCUUGGUCGAAUGCCGACGUCAAGCGGGUCUUUAAUCAAGUGAAUUUAAUUAAAACAAAAAUUCGAAAUAGCAUGAGCGUUGAAACAUUAAACGCUUUACUAAGUAUAAGUGCUGUUUUAACUACAGUAUACCACCCAGCUGCCUAAAUAAAAUGGAACAAAAGCAUUUUUACCAAACCGAUGAUGCCGAUAAUGUUGACGAUAUCUUAAAUGUCC